ACAGCGAGUCAGCAGCAGUGCAGGCUUUCUCACACUGCUCUGCAGCUCUGCCUC
rnacentral:sRNA from 1 species